rnacentral:rRNA from 1 species
GUGCCAGCCGCCGCGGUAAUACGGAGGUGGCAAGCGUUACUCGGAAUCAUUGGGUGUAAAGGGCAAGUAGGCGGUCUGGUAAGUGAGGGGUGAAAUCCUGCGACUCAAUCGCAGAACUGCCUUUCAAACUGUCAGACUUGAAGCAGGAAGAGGGAAAUGGAAUUCUCGGUGUAAGGGUGAAAUCUGUAGAUAUCGAGAAGAACACCAGCUGUGAAGGCGAUUUCCUACUCCUGCCUUGACGCUAAAUUGCGAAAGCUAGGGGAGCAAACAGAAUUAGAUACUCUGGUAGUCCUAGCCGUAAACGAUGAGCACUAGGUGUUGGUCCCUUUGGGAUCAGUGCCGCAGCCAACGCAUUAAGUGCUCCACCUGGGGACUACGGUCGCAAGGCUAAAACUCAAAGGAAUUGACGGGGGCCCGCACAAGCGGUGGAACAUGUGGUUCAAUUCGAUGAUACGCGAAGAACCUCACCAGGGCUUGACAUACUGGCAGUAGCGAACUGAAAGGGGAGCGAGCCGUCAAGUCCGGCAUCCAGUACAGGUGCUGCAUGGCUGUCGUCAGCUCGUGUCGUGAGAUGUUGGGUUAAGUCCCGCAACGAGCGCAACCAUUUUCCCAUGUUGCAAAUGUAUCUGUGCCUUCGGGUACGGGUGCAUGCACUCUUGGGAUACUGCCUGGGAUAACCAGGAGGAAGGUGGAGAUGACGUCAAGUCAGUACGGCCCUUAUGCCCUGGGCUACACACGUGUUACAAUGGCUGGUACAAAGGGUUGCCAACCCGCAAGGGGGAGCUAAUCUCUAAAAACCAGCCCCAGUUCAGAUUGGAGUCUGCAACUCGACUCCAUGAAGCCGGAAUCGCUAGUAAUGGAAAGAUCAGCACGCUUCCGUGAAUACGUUCCCGGGCCUUGUACACACCGCCCGUCAAGCGAUGGGAGCUAGGGGUACCCGAAGUCCGGUGUAGACCGGCCGAAGGUAAAACUAGUGACUGGCGCUAAGUCGUAACAAGGUAGCC